rnacentral:rRNA from 1 species
UACGUAGGGACCGAGCGUUGUCCGGAUUCAUUGGGCGUAAAGAGCUCGUAGGCGGCCACUCAAGUCGAAUGUGAAACCUCGAGGCUUAACCUCGAGCCUGCAUUCGAUACUGGGCGGCUAGAGUCUGGUAGGGGGAUCUGGAAUUCCUGGUGUAGCGGUGAAAUGCGCAGAUAUCAGGAGGAACACCGAUGGCGAAGGCAGCUCGCUGGGACGGUACUGACGCUGAGGCGCGAAAGCGUGGGGAGCAAACGGG